AGGACGAACGCUGGCGGCGUGCUUAACACAUGCAAGUGGUGCGACGAACCAGGCUUCGGCCUGGGGCAAAGCCGCGAACGGGUGAGUAACACGUGAGUAAUCUGCCCCGAUGACCGGGACAACCCGAGGAAACUCGGGCUAAUACCGGAUGAUGAGCCUCGGCGUAAGCCUUGUCUCUAAAGGAAGCUUCGGCCUCCGCAUCGGGAGGAGCUCGCGGCCCAUUAGCUUGUUGGUGGGGUAAUGGCCUACCAAGGCAACGAUGGGUAGCUGGUCUGAGAGGACGAUCAGCCACACUGGGACUGAGACACGGCCCAGACUCCUACGGGAGGCAGCAGUGGGGAAUAUUGGACAAUGGGCGAAAGCCUGAUCCAGCAAUGCCGCGUGGAUGAAGAAGGUCUUCGGAUUGUAAAGUCCUUUCGACGGGGACGAUGAUGACGGUACCCGUAGAGAAGCCCGGCUAACUUCGUGCCAGCAGCCGC
rnacentral:rRNA from 1 species